GCUGAGAUUAGGCUAACAUUAGCAGCAGUUUACACUCCAGCUAGUACCUUAAAACUGCAACUGAAACAAGCAUAAAAGCUAACAAGCCAAAGGGUUGUGUUAGAAGAAAAAAUAACAGUAUGAUUUUGCAUUUUUCCUAAGCAUACAAGUGAUUGGAGUCAGCUGGAAACAUCCAAGUACAACAUUAGCUUAAAUAGCUAGCUAGCUAUAUGGCUGUUUAAUCCACCAGCAACAGUCUUUUCAGCUGGCAAAACUGAGAAUUGCUGACAAGAAAUGAGACGCCAGCUUUUGUCUGCCUCUGUAUACAAUCCAGGAUCCAUUGUUUCAAAAAUUACUAAGAAUUUUGAGUGAUUAAUAUGCCACCUUUUUCAGGAUCUAAAGGCUAAGGUCAUUUGAGGAUCUGGAUAAUCAAACUUCUGUAGCUGGACAGAAACUGUACACCCGCAGUUUACACUGAAACAAACUCUUGGUGUUUCCUAAAUAACAUGGAGAGGCGCCACAGAGACGGAUGUGAGAACAGCAGGGGAGCAGAUAGAGAAUAGGUUUCAAAGACAUCAUAUCCUCGGAGCUCUAACCCAAAUGUAGCAGCAGUGGAAAAGGCUUGAGGUUGUCGUGCCGGUGGG